UGAUAUUGAAGUUAUAAAAUGUUACGUCAGCGAUGUCGUCAGGUUCUUUGAAAACGACGAAAAAAAUGUCCGAUUGCAUAUGGGAAUCGUUUAGUGUAUAUUCUACACUAAAAUAAAUAAAAAAAAAAAAAAAAAGGUUCGUAUAUAAAUAGAUGCACAAUGUAAUUCCUUUUUUGAGUUACAGUUCAUUGUUUUUUAAACUUUGUCUAAAUCUGAAUACACUUGAUUUUUAUUUACGGAGACAUUUAAAAUUGGUAGUUUACAAAACUCCAGUUAAUAGUGUUUCAACGUGUCAUGCUUAUAUCGAAGCCAAAGAUGGUUACUUCGAGAAAUUUCUCUGAAGGUAGAUAAGCAGAUCUACCCUUUUCCUGUACUUCCUACGUGCAACUAGGUACUUAACAUUAAAUAGAUAUAAUAAAACAAAAGAAUUUAAGAUAGAUACUCGGAUUCGACUAGCUUCAAUCAACAAUAUCAUCGUUUAGUAAAUAUAUAUAUUACAUCACGCGCGUGACGCAUAACGCGGGAAUACGAAUUGAAAGGGCAAAAUUCAAAACACAGAAUAAAAUGUACAUCGGUUGAAAUUAUGUUUUCAAACAUUGUAUGUAUCAUAUAAUAGAUAUAGUUUAAUACUAUCAAUAUACGUUUUAUGUGAAAUAAUAUACAGGAAUAUUUCUUUUUUUUCUUUGAUAAUAAAUCAAAAAAUUGAA